AUUGAACGCUGGCGGCAUGCUUUACACAUGCAAGUCGAACGGCAGCGCGGGCUUCGGCCUGGCGGCGAGUGGCGAACGGGUGAGUAAUACAUCGGAACGUGCCCAGUAGUGGGGGAUAGCUCGGCGAAAGCCGGAUUAAUACCGCAUACGACCUGAGGGUGAAAGCGGGGGAUCUUCGGACCUCGCGCUAUUGGAGCGGCCGAUGGCAGAUUAGCUAGUUGGUGGGGUAAAGGCCUACCAAGGCGACGAUCUGUAGCUGGUCUGAGAGGACGACCAGCCACACUGGGACUGAGACACGGCCCAGACUCCUACGGGAGGCAGCAGUGGGGAAUUUUGGACAAUGGGCGAAAGCCUGAUCCAGCAAUGCCGCGUGUGUGAUGAAGGCCUGCGGGUUGUAAAGCACUUUUGGCGGGAACGAAAAGGACUGUGCCAAUACCACGGUUCGAUGACGGUACCCGCAGAAUAAGCACCGGCUAACUACGU
rnacentral:rRNA from 1 species